GAUGAACGCUGGCGGCGUGCCUAACACAUGCAAGUCGAACGAAGCGUCUUAAAGGAAGUUUUCGGAUGGAAUUUGGGAUGACUGAGUGGCGGACGGGUGAGUAGCGCGUGGAUAACCUGCCUUGUACUGGGGGACAACAGUUAGAAAUGACUGCUAAUACCGCAUAAGCGCACAGUAUCGCAUGAUACAGUGUGAAAAACUCCGGUGGUACAAGAUGGACCCGCGACUGAUUAGCUAGUUGGUAAGGUAACGGCUUACCAAGGCGACGAUCAGUAGCCGACCUGAGAGGGUGACCAGCCACAUUGGGACUGAGACACGGCCCAA
rnacentral:rRNA from 1 species